UACGUAGGGGGCGAGCGUUGUCCGGAGUUACUGGGCGUAAAGGGCGUGCAGGCGGUGCGGUAAGUUUAGAGUGACAGUAUCCGGCUUAACUGGAUAAGGCCUCUGAAAACUGCCGGACUUGAGGGCCAGAGAGGGACAUAGAAUUCCGGGUGGAGUGGUGAAAUGCGUAGAUAUCCGGAGGAAUACCAAAGGCGAAGGCAGUGUCCUGGCUGGCAACUGACGCUG
rnacentral:rRNA from 1 species